rnacentral:rRNA from 1 species
GACGAACGCUGGCGGCGUGCUUAACACAUGCAAGUCGAACGGUAAGGCCCUUCGGAGUACACGAGUGGCGAACGGGUGAGUAACACGUGGGUGAUCUGCCCUGCACUUCGGGAUAAGCCUGGGAAACUGGGUCUAAUACCGGAUAGGACCACUGCCUGCAUGGGUGGUGGUGGAAAGCUUUUGCGGUGUGGGAUGGGCCCGCGGCCUAUCAGCUUGUUGGUGGGGUGAUGGCCUACCAAGGCGACGACGGGUAGCCGGCCUGGGAGGGUGGCCGGCCACACUGGGACUGAGAUACGGCCCAGACUCCUACGGGAGGCAGCAGUGGGGAAUAUUGCACAAUGGGCGCAAGCCUGAUGAAGCGACGCCGCGUGAGGGAUGACGGCCUUCGGGUUGUAAACCUUUUUCAGUAGGGACGAAGCGCAAGUGACGGUACCUACAGAAGAAGGACCGGCCAACUACGUGCCAGCAGCCGCCGUAA